CUCCCGAUCUGGUCACGCCACCAUCGGUCGCUCUCUCAAUCAAUCCCUGGCCGCGAGUAGCAUCCGCUCCCCUUUUCCAUCCCGCCGACUGCGCCGCCACCCCAUUCCGUACAUCCUCCUCCUCCAUCAUCGGCGGCGGUGGCUUGGUUUUUCCCUCGCUUGGUCGGCGCGUUCUCCAAUCGCUCGACCUCUUUCCCUCUUUUCGAAGGGCCCAGGAUCCGAAGAAAGAAACCCUAAAUCCGAAGCCAAUCCAAGAACCGACGGGAUCAGGCAAACGCAAGAGGCGCGGAGGGACUCCCUCCGGUCCUUCCUCUUAGGUUGUAUCAGCAGUUGUAUUGCUGAAAGCAUUUAGAGCUUGUUUAUCUUGGGUGAUAAGAGGUCUCCGUCUAAGUAGUUUACGUGAAAUGGAGAUACAAACAUCUGGCAAACCUAUUGAUAGUUUGCUAGAGAAGGUUCUUUCAAUGAACAUUCUAUCUUCAGAUUAUUUCAAAGAACUUUACAGAUUGAAGACUUACCAUGAAGUUAUAGAUGAGAUCUACAACCAAGUUGAUCAUGUGGAACCAUGGAUGACUGGAAAUUGCAGAGGUCCUUCCACAGCAUUUUGUCUCCUGUACAAGUUCUUCACAAUGAAACUCACUGUCAAGCAAAUGCAUGGACUUUUGAAGCAUCCUGAUUCUCCUUAUAUUAGAGCUAUUGGUUUCCUCUACCUGCGCUAUGUUGCAGAUCCAAAGACAUUAUGGACUUGGUAUGAGCCAUACAUCAAGGAUGAUGAGGAAUUCUCUCCUGGUUCUAAUGGUCGACUUACGACAAUGGGGGUAUAUGUGCGUGAUCUUCUUCUUGGUCAGCUGAAAGGUAAUUCAUUUUGGUAAAUGUCCCACCUGUUCAUAUGAGAUUCUGGGCUUGCAUUUCCUAAUGGAGUAUUCCUUGAGAGAUCAGUACAUCACAUCUUUAUCAACAAUUAAGUUCAAGUACUACUUUGACACACUUUUCCCACGUGUCCCUGUUCCCGUUGUGCGCCAAAUUGUUGCUAACCUGGAGAAACUGAAGCUCCCCACCAAGCAUUGUGGUGUCACUGGAGAAACUAGUCGGCAGGGCUCAGAUGAUAUUGCCCGUCGCCCUCCUUCAGUAAAAGCUGCUUUGUCAGUCUCAUUUGGUCAGCGUGCUCCACACCGUGCAUCCACCAGGGACUCUUCGCCGGUCAGAAGGAACUUAGGUCCCAUACACGAAAGGAGUGAUGGUGAUGACCAUCGAAGAUCAUCUCCUAGCAUUCGUCGCAGUAGUAGCCGUGACCGACAUGACCGUGAUCGCUCAGAUCGUGACCGUGACCAUGAUCGAGAUCAUCGUGAUCGAGACCGUCGAGACCAUCACCGUGAUCGAGACCACUCAGAACGUGACCGGGGAAGGGACUCUGAGCGAAGGCAUGAACAUGAGCGGCGUGGUGAUCGUGAUAGAGAUUCCCAUCGAUCCAAGCACUCAGAGAGGGAUUCUGGGAGAAGGGACCAUGAAAGGAGUGGGCGAGAUGCUGAUGAGUAUAGACACUCCAACUCGAGACGAAGCAGAAGUAGAAGUAGGAGCAGGAGUCGUAGCAUCCAUACCCGUGGUGCAGAUCGCCCUAGUCCUUUCGGAGAUGAAAAUAAAGAGAAGACAAAGGCUGUUUCAAGCAAUCUGGCAAAGUUGAAAGAUUUAUAUGGUGAUGGAAGUGACAAGAAAAGCAAUGAAGCUGCCGAUAGGCUGCGCAAAGAUACCAGCACUGAAGAGGUUAUCAGACUUGGGGGUUCCACAUGGAGAUGAAGCCAAUUGAAUUUGAUUUGGAAUGAUGUUAUUUUGUAAUAUCUACUUGGGGUAUUAUAGUAAACACAUUUUGGAAUUAGUUGUUGGAAACUAAAUCACCUUGGGGAUGAAAUCUGAGACUUCCCUAUGUUGGUCUUCUUCGGACUAAUCUAUUAGUGCCUGCCUGCCUUUUCCAGGAGAAACAUGCAUGAUGCAAGAAAUGUAUGAUUGAAAUUAAGAUUUAUAUUUGUUUUA